AGGUAGAGAAAGGAGCUCCCUCGGUCCAUUCUGAGACAAUCUUAACGGCUAAUAGCUCAACUGCUGAAUCAUUGGUUCAACAACGCAUGAAAGUGUUGAUAGGAUGAAUGUGUUCUUGAUCCAAUGAAGCAGGAGUUGGAAGCUUAGUCGUUGGUGUCACUCUUGGACUGAAGGGAGCUCCCUACUUUGCUUCU
rfam:Helianthus annuus linkage group 8, whole genome shotgun sequence.